CUUGCUAGCUCAGGGAUGAAGCGCCACUGAUCCUGCAUCCCCAGACAGCAUCCCUUUCCUAGUCGAGGUAACUAAAACCAAUCAGUAAAAAAGUGGGCGGUGCCUACUGCUGAGAGGAUUCAGUCUCUGUUCCGGCAGCCGUUCCGGCCCGGCAGCUCUCCUGCUCUCGGGCUGCGAGGGGGGAGCGGUGGCGUGGACUCAGAGCGCUCGGGGCUCUCCACCUGGUUCUGGCACAGGAGAGGCACCGGGUUCUGGAGAAAAGAACACGUGGUUGAGUUAAACCUGGUUGUUAUUCAGGUCUCUGUAUGGGGAACAGCCACAGAUCACAAGGGUGGAAUGAAGAUGGCUAAUUGGGAGUGUCGACUGAAAAAAUGCACCACCUAAAAGUUGGGAAUUAUGUUUUAUUCAGCGGACAUACUGAGGACUUAAGCCCGGAGACAGCCUCUCACGUAGCUCUGAGGGAUUUCUCCAAAGAGCCAAGAGCCCUGAUGGAUGGAGAAUCCUGCCCGGAACUCUGGGAUCCCGUGUGCUUCUCUGAGGUGGUUCGUACAUGCAAUGCUUCAGCAGCAAUGAUGGCUGAUUCCUCAAGCCCCUUCUGGGAACUGGGACCUUGACAAGAGUUCUCGCAUCAGUUCUCGGGGGCCUAAGAUCUACAGUGAUGUCCGCGGGCUCUGAUGGAGCAAGUGGAAACGGACCGGAAUUACUGGAGGAUUUCCCAGCACGACAGUGUGUAGUGACGCGCUGCCUGGGUGCCUAGAUCCCCCCGUCUGAGUCCCAGGGCGAGAGUGCUCAGUCCCCAGCGGCCAGGAGGUCAGGUCCUGUCCCCAGGGCAGCCUGCAUCUGUGGUGCCGAAGCAAUGGCCAGGCAUCCUUUGGCAUUUCUUCCAUCGAGGAGUGAAGUCUGCAUCCCCUUCCUCGAAUCUGGGCAUGUGCUGGGGCUGCUUGGCCAUGGAUCGCAGCAGGAGGAAGGCUGCCCGGUGUCUGCGCCGAGCCUGGAGAAACCAGUGGCUUCCGUAUGGCCCUCAUGGUGCCCUCUCUCCGGGAGCCCUGACCGCCCCAUGAGAAGACCAGUCGUCUUGGGUCGGCGUGGCUGUGGUCAAAAUAAACAGUAGAU